CACGUAGGGCGCAAGCGUUGUCCGGAAUUAUUGGGCGUAAAGAGCUCGUAGGCGGUCUGUUACGUCUGCUGUGAAAACCCAGGGCUUAACCCUGGGCUUGCAGUGGAUACGGGCAGACUAGAGGCAGGUAGGGGAGAAUGGAAUUCCCGGUGUAGCGGUGAAAUGCGCAGAUAUCGGGAGGAACACCGGUGGCGAAGGCGGGUUGCUGGGCUGACACUGACGCUGAACUGCGAAAGCUAGGGGAGCGAACGGG
rnacentral:rRNA from 1 species